rnacentral:rRNA from 1 species
AUUGAACGCUGGCGGCAGACUUAACACAUGCAAGUCGAACGAGUGGCGGAAGGGUGAGUAAUGCGUGGGAAUCUAGCUUAUGGAGGGGGUUAAAUACGGGAAACUGUAGAUAAUACCGCGUACCAUAGGAUGAGCCCACGUGGGAUUAGGGAGUUGGUGGGGUAAAGGCUCACCAAGCCGACGAUCCCUAGCUGGUCUGAGAGGAUGACCAGCCACACUGGGACUGAGACACGGCCCAGACUCCUACGGGAGGCAGCAGUGGGGAAUAUUUCGCAAUGGGGGCAACCUGACGCAGCCAUGCCGCGGGAAUGAAGAAGGCCUUCGGUUUGUAAAGUUCUUUCGGUAGCGAGGCGUUAUCUACAGAAGAAGCACCGGCUAACUCCGUGCCAGCAGCCGCGGUAAUAC